GAGUUGCGAACGGGUGAGUAACGCGUAGGUAACCUGCCUGGUAGUGGGGGAUAACUAUUGGAAACGAUAGCUAAUACCGCAUAAUAGCAGUUGUUGCAUGACAACUGUUUGAAAGGUGCAAUUGCAUCACUACCAGAUGGACCUGCGUUGUAUUAGCUAGUUGGUGGGGUAACGGCUCACCAAGGCGACGAUACAUAGCCGACCUGAGAGGGUGAUCGGCCACACUGGGACUGAGACACGGCCCGGACUCC
rnacentral:rRNA from 1 species